GGAAAGCAGGCGGGCGGGCGGAAAACGCGGAGCAACCUCUUCCCCCUCUCCCCGCUCCAUCUCCUUCCCUUCCCAGGCCGCAGCUGUCCUUUGUAGGGCGUCCAGGGUUCGCCCACAUCCACCUCCGCGCUGGGCACCUGGUGGUGCUUACAUCGCGUUUGGUGAAACGCAUCCUCCAGCCAUGCUAUGCUUGCAAAGAUGUCUCUGGUCAUUGGGAAGGACGGCAGCUUGGGAAGGAGCAUGUCCAUGAAUGUCAUCAGUGAGCUGGCACCUGUCCCCCUCUACCCUGGAGCUGAAGGCAGCUUCUACACAAACCCUCCUGGGGCCUGCUCUGUGACUCAGUUUCCCUGUCAUGUGCUGCUGCUGCUUUUUUUUCUCUUUCAUUAGGGCUUCCCCUCCACCCUCCCUGCAGGGUCACUGGGCUGGUGCCCUGGGCAGGGAGGAACACCAGCAUGUGGCCUCAGACCUCACAGUCCUUUCUGCUCGCUCAUUGACCUGUUUGCAACUCUGGACUCACAGCUGACGUUGCAAACUGAGGUUCCUGGAGUAAUUCUAACCCUUUGGGAAUCGCCCCACCCCCAGACUGUGAGCACACCAAGGGCAUGGUCCAUCUGUCCAGGCCACCCUUGUGUGCCACUGGAUGCAUGAAGGAAUGUUGACAUCAGCCUAAGGUCCUGCGUCAGCUCCCAGUGGCCUGAUGUCAGGACCUCAAAUGCAGGCUGAGAAGAGAACUUAGGAGAUGGGCCUUUUAUAAGGCCAACCAGAAGGUCAGAAGACUUGGGCUCCAGCCGGGUGCGGCGACCCACACCUGUAAUCCCAGUACUUUGGGAGGUCGAGGUGAGAGGAUCACUCGAGGCCUGGAGUUUGAGACCAGCCUAGGCAACACAGUGAGACCCCAUCUCUAAAAAAAUUAAAAAAUUAGCCGAGUGUUAUGGUGCAUGCCUGCAGUACCCGCUAUUCAGGAGGCUGAGGUGGGAGGAUUGCUUGAGCCCAGGAGGUCAAGGCUGCAAUGAGCUAAGAUCACACUCCAGACUGGGCAACAGAGAGAGACCUUGUCUCAGAAAAAAAAAAAAGAGAGAGAGAGAGAGAGGAGGAGGAGGCUGGGUGCAGUGGCUCAUACCUGUAAUCUAAACACUUUGUUUGUUUGUUUGUUUGAGAGGGAGUCUCACUCUGUCGCCCAGGCUGGAGUGCAGUGGCGCGAUCUCAGCUCACUGCAACCUCUGCCUCCCAGGUCAAGCGAUUCUCCUGCCUCAGCCUCCCGAGUAGCUGGGAUUAUGGGCACAUGCCACCACGCCCAGCUAAUUUUUGUAUUUUCAGUAGAGACAGGGUUUCACCAUGUUGGCCAGCAUGGUCUUAAACUGCAGACCUCAGGUGAUCUGCCCACCUUGGCCUCCCAAAGUGCUGAGAUUACAGGCGUGAGCUACUGCACCUGGCUUUGUAAUCCCAACACUUUGAGAGGCCAAGGUGGGAGCACUGCUUGAGGCCAGGAGCUUGAAACCAGCCUGGGCAACAUAAUGAGACCCCGUUUCUACAAAAAUAAACAAAUUAGCCAGGCAUGGUGGUGCAUGCUUGUAGUCCCAGCCACUCAGCAGGCUGAGGCUGGAGGAUUGGUUGAGCCCAGGAGUUCAAGGCUGCAGUGAACCAUGAUUGCGUCACUGCAACAGAGGGAGACCCAGAAAGAAAGAAA